rnacentral:rRNA from 1 species
UACACACCGCCCGUCACACCAUGAGAGUUGGUUUUACCAGAAGUCGCUGUGCUAACUUCGGAGGCAGGCGCCCAAGGUAAAGUCGAUGAUUGGGGUG